rnacentral:rRNA from 1 species
AUGAUACUAUGCAAGAUGCGUAAGCUGGGGAUGGCAUGGCAGUGCAUGCUGAUGCUGUCGGUCAAGAAGUACCAUACCGCUCUUGCCUUCCCUGCCAAUGCUUCCUCUUGCCAUGCUAGCCAUGUGUGGCCUCACCUUUGUUUAUCAAUUCGUGCGCAGUCCAAAAUUCUUGGAAAUUCUCUUGUUGCUGUUAUAAUGUGGGUGUGUUCGGCUUCCUUCUUCAUUAAAGGUAUGUUUGUUUGGGCUGCAAUUUCCAUGGCUGCAGCUGAAGGAGCGGCUGUAGCCGGUGAUGAAGAGAGGCACUUUGCAUUUGCCCACCAGAAGUACAGAUCGGUAAAGUACAGAGAAGCUUCAGAGCAUGGCAACAUUGUUUAUGAGAAGAUCACGACAAACUACUUCUUGGAGUUACUACUAUCAGUUUAUGACUUGGUGCUAGCUGAAGCUUCUAUUUUCUACCCAAACUGCUAUUAA